AGGGAUAUCGGUUACUGGGUAUAUAAUAGGUGACCAACCAGGCAUGAAUCGGGAAUAUAUCCAAGAUACUCAUCACCCGAAAGGAGGGCUGAAAAAAGCAAACUCGACUUACAGGAUGGACAUUCGAUUCCACAAGGAAAUACGAAUCUUACUCGACUGGGGAAGAAAAAGACUUCAACUGAAGAGCGCAUGAGAUAUAUUAUCUACUACCGUUAUAUGGGUAAAAACAUAGAUAACAUACU
rnacentral:lncRNA from 1 species